rnacentral:rRNA from 1 species
UUCCGGAGAGGCAGCCUGAGAAACGGCUACCACAUCUAAGGAAGGCAGCAGGCGCGCAAAUUACCCAAUCCAGACAUUGGGAGGUAGUGACGAGAAAUAACAAAGUGUGCCUUUUGGUACAUUAUUGUAAUGGACGUAACAUAGUACCUUCGAUGAGUACCCACUGGAGGGCAAGUCUGGUGCCAGCAGCCGCGGUAAUUCCAGCUCCAGUAGUGUAUAUCAAAAUUGUUGCGGUUAAAACGCUCGUAGUUGGAUUACAAGAGUCGGGUGUCAUUGAAGCAAUAGCUUGGGUGACAUGUGGCUUUUUUAUCGCAAGAACCAGUGGUGCAUUUAAUCGUGUGCGGCUGGCCACUUGCGGAGCGUGCCUUGAAUAAAGCACAGUGCUCAAAGCAAGCGUAACGCUCGAAUGUUGAAGCAUGGAACGAAUAUCACUGAUAGGGUUCAGUUGUUGGUUUCUGAACCUGGUCCUGAUUAAAAGGGACAUUUGAGGGCGUUAGUACUUGGUGGCGAGAGGUGAAAUUCUUAGACCCACCAAAGACUCACUGAUGCGAAGGCAUUCGCCAAGAAUGUUUUCAUUGAUCAAGAACGAAAGUUAGAGGUUCGAAGACGAUCAGAUACCGUCCUAGUUCUAUACAGUAAACUAUGCCACCACGGGAUCAGUCCGGAAAGUUGAUCCAGGUUGGUCCCCCAAGGAAACUUGUAGUGUUCGGGUUCCGGGGGGAGUACGGUCGCAAGGCUGAAACUUAAAGGAAUUGACGGAAGGGCACCACCAGGAGUGGAGCCUGCGGCUUAAUUUGACUCAACACGGGGCAACUCACCAGGUCCAGACAUUGAAAGGAUUGACAGACUGAUAGAUCUUUCAUGAUCCAAUGAUUGGUGGUGCAUGGCCGUUCUUAGUUGGUGGAGCGAUCUGUCAGGUCUAUUCCGGUAACGAGCGAGACCACGAUCUCCAUUUGAUUGCGGCCAAUAGCGUGUGCGCUGCGCCGCACCUACUGCCAGUGGUGUCAAAGCUACGCGGCGUAGGUGUUGCGUGUGUGACGUGCUGUUUUGGUGGUCGGUCAUGGAGAGACCACCGGAGUACAAGCCGGGGGAAGCGUGGCAAUAACAGGUCUGUGAUGCCCUUCGAUGUUCUGGGCCGCACGCGCGCUACAAUGGCAGUGACAACAAGUUUCUGUUCCGUGAGGAGCUGGGAAAUCUUGGCAAUCGCUGUCGUGAUUGGGAUUGAGCCUUGUAAUAAUUGCUCAUGAAAGAGGAAUUCCUCGUAAGCGCGAGUCACCAACUCGUGUUGAAUACGUCUCUGCCCUUUGUACACACCGCCCGUCGCUACUACCGAUUGAAUGGCUUUUCGAGAUGUCGGG